CUUCAUAUCUGCACUUCCUGUGAUCAUUGAUCUCUUACUUCAAACCAAGGGCAACAAGACGUUUCUCUAACGGACUGCCCAGAACUUUUAAAGAUCUACUGUUCGUUUUUAUUUGAUUCAAAUCCAGUCGAUUUAAUACACGUUUAGUAAAGAUCCUUGUCCAGUCAAUGUGAUCCUUGUCCAGUCAAUGUGAUCCAGUCAAUGUGAUCCUUGUCCAGUCAAUGUGAUCCUUGUCCAGUCAAUGUGAUCCUUGUCCAGUCAAUGUGAUCCUUGUCCAUGCAGUCAAUGUGAUCCUUGUCCAUGCAGUCAAUGUGAUCCUUGUCC